ACCNGUUUCCAGAUGUCCACAGCAAGCCUA
rnacentral:piRNA from 1 species